GGUAGUGUGGCCGAGGGGGUCUAAGGCGCUGGAUUUAAGCUCCAGUCUCUUCGGAGGCGUGGGUUCGAAUCCCACCGCUGCCA
rfam:Danio rerio chromosome 4, GRCz11 reference primary assembly.